rnacentral:rRNA from 1 species
UCCGGUAGGGGGGACUGCGGAGGGAUCAUUACACAACAAAAAUAUGAGGGUGUGGUUUGCUGGCAACAGCGUCCGCCCCAAGUAUUUUUCACCCAUGUCUUUUGCGCACUUUUUGUUUCCUGGGCGAGUUCGCUCGCCACCAGGACCCAACCAUAAACCUUUUUUUAUGCAGUUGCAAUCAGCGUCAGUAUAAUAAUUCAAUUUAUUAAAACUUUCAACAACGGAUCUCUUGGUUCUGGCAUCGAUGAAGAACGCAGCGAAAUGCGAUACGUAGUGUGAAUUGCAGAAUUCAGUGAAUCAUCGAAUCUUUGAACGCACAUUGCGCCCUUUGGUAUUCCAAAGGGCAUGCCUGUUCGAGCGUCAUUUGUACCCUCAAGCUUUGCUUGGUGUUGGGCGUCUUUUUGUCUCUCCCCUUGUUGGGGGAGACUCGCCUUAAAACGAUUGGCAGCCGACCUACUGGUUUUCGGAGCGCAGCACAAAUUUGCGCCUUCCAAUCCACGGGGCGGCAUCCAGCAAGCCUUUGUUUUCUAUAACAAAUCCACAUUUUGACCUCGGAUCAGGUAGGGAUACCCGCUGAACUUAAGCAUAUCAUAGGC